GGAGGAGAAGGCGACAGACUGUGGAAGGGAAGAUAUGGGGGAUGGGAGCAACAUUGCCCCUGUCCCUUUCUCUGAAUCAUCUUGUAGUCUGUAAGCCUCUCAGGACAUCUCAGAGUUCUGGAGAAGGUGGAGGCAGCUCAGAAGGACUCUCCAUCAGGAGUUUGGGGCAGAGGUACCUACCGAGUGUGGCCAAAGGCAUUUCUCAGUAAGUCAUCAGAGGGGGCAGAAUUCCUUAUGAGGAAUCUAGCGCAGCUGGCAUCACGAACACAGUGGGCACAAGCAGAUGGGCAAAGAUAAGCGUGUGAUGCUGGGCUGAGUAUUAGAUGGUGACCACAGAACAUAGUCUUGUGAAAUCCAGGGAGGAGAUGGUCAAGGUCAACAUGCAAGAGGCUGACACUGUUAUUUCCAGCCUGAGUGCUUGGCCCUACUAUCAGGCUGUGGGCUCUGUAACCCAUGGCAACAAGAGAAGAGAAGCAGGGAGGAGCCUGUCCUGGCUGCAGUGCCAAUUAGAGACGCAGGCCUCUGAAUGCAAAGCACUCAGGGCUUCCGGGUCACGAUGCAGCAGCUGCUGGGGAGCAGGGCAGCCUCUUCUGCUUGCUCCAGCUCCUCAUAUUUCUCCAGGGCAGCAAAGUAAAAUCUGACCUUGACACACAGUUAAAG
rnacentral:lncRNA from 1 species